rnacentral:rRNA from 1 species
UACAGAGGUGGCAAGCGUUGUUCGGAAUUACUGGGCGUAAAGGGCGCGUAGGCGGUUCGUUAAGUCCUGUGUGAAAUCCCUCGGCUUAACCGGGGAACUGCGUCUGAUACUGGAUGGCUUGAGAUUGGGAGAGGGAUGCGGAAUUCCAGGUGUAGCGGUGAAAUGCGUAGAUAUCUGGAGGAACACCGGGGGCGAAGGCGGCAUCCUGGACCAACACUGACGCUGAGGGAGCGAAAGCCAGGGGAGCAAACGGG